rnacentral:lncRNA from 1 species
AAUUAAUAUUCCUUUUUUUGUAUUUUAAGUUAUAUUUAUCCAUUUGGUAAGGAAAGUUUAAAUUGAUUUUACCUAUUGGCUUUCGUGAAUAAUGCUUCAGUAUGGUGUGCAAAUAACUUACUUGACCAUAUGUUCCAGAGUUUAUAUCUGUGCUGCGUUUUGUUUCAUUACUUUGGUGUUCUACCUUUAUACCAAUACCAAAGUGCUUUGAUUACUGUAGGUUUGUUUUGUGUUUGAAAAUUAUUAAAUUGAAAAGGGGUGUGUUGAAUGUGUGGGUCACUUUAAGCUGCAUGGACAUCUUCACAUUAUGUCUUCCAGGCCUUGAAAAAGAGCAUGCUCAAAAGUGUGUUGUUGGCUGGGUGUGGUGGCUCACGCCUGUAAUCCCAGCACUUUGGGAGGCCGAAGUGGGAAGAGUACAAGAUUGAGACCAUCGUGGCCAACGUUCAUUUACCUUUGGUCUCCGCUGUCCGAAACUGUCGAAGUAUACCACCUUUCCUUUCAACACUGUCAUGGAAUACAGAAAUUAGUCUUUGGUAAGGUCUUAAAAAGUCAGAACCAUGGACAUAUGUACCACUAUUUUAUUUAUUUUUGGAGGGGGAAGACAGGAGUCUAUAUUUAA